GGGCCGAUGGUCUAGCUGGUUAUGACGUCCGCUUGACGUGCGGGAGGUCGGGAGUUCAAAUCUCCCUCGGCCCA
rnacentral:tRNA from 1 species